rnacentral:rRNA from 1 species
UGGGGAAUUUUGGACAAUGGGCGCAAGCCUGAUCCAGCCAUGCCGCGUGCAGGAUGAAGGCCUUCGGGUUGUAAACUGCUUUUGUACGGAACGAAAAGACUCCUUCUAAUAAAGGGGGUCCAUGACGGUACCGUAAGAAUAAGCACCGGCUAACUACGUGCCAGCAGCCGCGGUAAUACGUAGGGUGCGAGCGUUAAUCGGAAUUACUGGGCGUAAAGCGUGCGCAGGCGGUUUUGCAAGACAGAGGUGAAAUCCCCGGGCUCAACCUGGGAACUGCGUUUGUGACUGCAUAACUAGAGUACGGCAGAGGGAGGUGGAAUUCCGCGUGUAGCAGUGAAAUGCGUAGAUAUGCGGAGGAACACCGAUGGCGAAGGCAAUCCCCUGGACCUGUACUGACGCUCUUGCACGAAAGCGUGGGGAGCAAACA